rnacentral:lncRNA from 1 species
AGACUCGUCGGAAGUUGGAUUUUGGGCGGAGCGCACCGUCACGGGGGUCUGGGUCACCGCACUGCUAUCCUCCGGUGAGAAUCCCCUCACAGCCUUUACCUUCACCUCCGCGUGAUUUAGCAUCGAGUGUGGUAGAUAGUAGUGCGCCUGGGGCUAGCAAUUUGUGGCCGGAGCCAGGGCGCCGCCGACGGUGCUGCAUAACACCGUGAGCCCUGCCCGAAUCCCAGCUACUCUCCAACGCUAAACCCACCAUUCACAAGUUCGCCGUGACCUCCACACCACGUAGCACGUUUUGGAUCAUAGUCUCAUGCUUGGAGGGGGGACUUGGGUGCCUCUGAUCUGCGCAGCUGUGGUUGGGGCAUGGCGCCAUCGCCCAGCUCGGGAGAGGGGAGAAGAUAACGUUGUGGCCAUCGAUAUGAUAUUCUAUGGUUGGGAUUCGAUCUGGCGUUCCUGUUCACGCGAUGUAGGCUAGUCCGUUGAUACUCGAUCGGGCGGUUAAGAGUUGAUCGCGCUUUCAUAAAAUAGUGGAUGUCGAUCUUCGAUCUGACGGUCUGUAUAACAUACCGGUUCACGGUGGGGCAAAACUAAUCAUGGCCGUCCACUUCAAAUCCGAUAGCCGAGAUCUAAACUUACCCCUUCGCCGUGUACCAUUUAUAUAAAAACCCAUGGAAUCUCCAUGAAUUAACCCGCAGUACAACUCGAGGUUAGUAUGAGUCUAGGGAACACUUGCGCGUCAGCCCCUGGCUUUUCCAGAAUUUGGAGCCCAGUCCUGGGAAAUAGAAAAUCAGAGAAUUUGUUUAUAAAAUGAAUUUCUUAUAUAAAAACAAUUCAGAAUCUUGUUAAAUCCAUAGAACAUUCAUAUUAAGUCCAAAUGAGUUAAUUCCAAUUUAUAUAAUUCUAUAAUAUUAUUGUUUAUCUCAUAGUACCUCUGUUUUGUCAUGAAAACAACAAUAAAAUUGAUUUUCUAAUUAAUCCUAUAUCAAAUACAUAGAAACUUUGGAAAUUCGUAACUUCCCCAUUUUAAUUCCAAAUUGAACCGUUCCAGUUGCGUUAGUCUCGUAUAAAUAUUUACUACACAGUAACAACAUUUAUUAUACCACAUCUCGUUCUUUUCUAAUUAGAUCCUUAUGUAACGUGUGUUGGUUAGUCUUGUUAAACUGCUCAUCUACUAAAAUAUGAUUUAUGGUCAAGUUAUAAUUUAGAUUAAAGUUGAAUUAAUUACUAUUAUAGGUUACCUUUUUCUCUGGGAUUAUAAAAUAAACACAGAACCUGGUGUUAAUCUUGUAAUCACAUCACAACUUGAUGACCACGACUCCGAUCUUAGUAGUUCUCGAUUUCACGAUCUCGUAGCAACGUAUAGAUCAUUAUUAUUCAGUUUGUUCUUAUGUUUGGUGUGAUGUUAAUUUUAUCCAUACCAUGUUUGUUUGUAUUGCUAUGACUAGCGCGAGGUUUCGAGGAUCUGAAGAAUCACCCUAGUAACUGGAAUCUCAAGUGCUAGGCAAGUUGUGCCCUUGAUCCACUUUUGUUACCCAAUAAUAUUCUUUAUUAUCACUAUUCAAUGCAUAGGUUUAAUU